rnacentral:rRNA from 1 species
UACGUAGGGCGCAAGCGUUAUUCGGAAUUAUUGGGCGUAAAGAGCUCGUAGGCGGUUUGUCGCGUCUGCCGUGAAAGUCCGGGGCUCAACUCCGGAUCUGCGGUGGGUACGGGCAGACUAGAGUGAUGUAGGGGAGACUGGAAUUCCUGGUGUAGCGGUGAAAUGCGCAGAUAUCAGGAGGAACACCGGUGGCGAAGGCGGGUCUCUGGGCCGAAACUGACGCUGAGGUGCGAAAGCGUGGGGAGCAAACAGG